rnacentral:rRNA from 1 species
AUACGUAGGUGGCAAGCGUUGUCCGGAAUUGUUGGGCGUAAAGCGCAUGUAGGCGGUGCCUUAAGUCUGUCGUGAAACUGCGGGGCCUAACCCCGUAUGGCGAUGGAAACUGGGGUACUUGAGUGCAGGAGAGGAAAGGGGAACUCCCAGUGUAGCGGUGAAAUGCGUAGAUAUUGGGAAGAACACCGGUGGCGAAGGCGCCUUUCUGGACUGUGUCUGACGCUGAGAUGCGAAAGCCAGGGUAGCGAACGGGAUUAGAUACCCCGGUAGUCCUGGCCGUAAACGAUGGGUACUAGGUGUGGGAGGUAUCGACCCCUUCCGUGCCGGGGUUAACGCAAUAAGUCCCCCGCCUGGGGAGUACGGCCGCAAGGCUUAAACUCAAAGGAAUUGACGGGG